CAUAAGUGAAUUAAGGGUGUAUGGGGGAUGCCUAGGCUCUUGAAGGCGAUGAAGGACGUGUUAAGCUGCGAUAAGCUACGGGGAUUUGCACAAAAGAAUUAAUCCGUAGAUUUCCGAAUGGGGCAACCCAAUGGUUUGAAGAACCAUUACCACAAUGUGGAGCAAACCCGGAGAACUGAAACAUCUAAGUACCCGGAGGAAGAGAAAACAAAAGUGAUUCCGUAAGUAGUGGCGAGCGAACGCGGAUUAGCCCAAACCGUUGUUGUUACGGCAAUGACGGGGUUGUAGGACGUUUUUUUAGAAAGGAUUUUAAUUUGAAUGAGUUGGGAAGCUCAGCCGUAGAAGGUGAUAGCCCUGUAAGAGUACAUAAUCUGGACGUAGACGUAUCCUGAGUAGGGGGGGACUGGAGAAAUCCCCUUUGAAUCAGCCGGCACCAUCCGGUAAGGCUAAAUACUAACAAGAGACCGAUAGUGAACGAGUACUGUGAAGGAAAGGUGAAAAGUACCCCGAAUAGGGGGGUGAAAAGACCCUGAAACCAUACACUUACAAGCGGUCGGAGCAGCGCGAUGCUGUGACGGCGUGCCUUUUGCAUAAUGACCCUACGAGUUACUCUUCCUGGCAAGAUUAAGGAUUGCAGAUCUGGAGUCGGAGCGAAAGCGAGUCUGAAAAGGGCGUUUAGUCAGGGGGAGUAGACGCGAAACCUUGUGAUCUACCCAUGGCCAGGUUGAAGGUGUGGUAACACACACUGGAGGACCGAACGAGUUUACGUUGAAAAGUAUUUCGAUGAGCUGUGGGUAGGGGUGAAAGGCUAAUCAAACUGGGAAAUAGCUCGUACUCCCCGAAAUGUUUUUAGGAACAGCGUCGUGGUUGAGUUUCAUGCAGGUAAAGCUACCAAUAGGACUAGGGGGAGUCAAAUCCUACCAAAUCCUGAUGAACUCUGAAUGGCAUGAAAUAUACACGGCAGUGAGGGCCGGGGUGCUAAGGUCACGGUCCGAGAGGGAAAGAACCCAGACCAACAGUUAAGGUCCCAAAAUCUAUACUAAGUUGAACAAAGGAGGUCUGAUUGCAGAGACAGCCAGGAUGUUAGCUUGGAAGCAGCUAUUCAUUUAAAGAGUGCGUAACAGCUCACUGGUCGAGCGAGGCGGGCAUCGAUAAUAAACGGGCAUCAAGUAUAGUACCGAAGCUUUGGAUUAUGUAGAGAUACAUACUGGUAGGGGAGCAUUCUGAUAGCGAUGAAGGUGAAUCGACAAGGUUUGCUGGAGUGAUCAGAAAAGCAAAUGUAGGGAUAAGUAACGAUAAUGGGGGCGAGAAACCCCCACGCCGAAAAGUCAAGGAUUCCUCAGCUAUGCUAAUCAACUGAGGGUUAGUCGGGGGCUAAGGGUCUAGCGAGAGCGACAAUCUAAUGCACAUCAGGUUAAUAUUCCUGAACUUACUAUUAGGGAAACACGAUGACGGAGACU
rnacentral:rRNA from 1 species